UCAUGGCGAAUAUGAAUUCUGAUUAGGUUUAAUGGGGAAUUGUGGGGCGUCCCCCGCCCCAGUCAAAAUUGGGAAUGGGUAAGAGAAUUUAUGUCCAAUAUGAAUUCUGAUUAGGCGUAAUGGGGAACAUUUGGGGGGUACAUUUUAAUCUGGCCUUAUUCAAAAUUGAACUCCUUCUUUCAUUUUUCGUUAGAUUAUUCCAAAACGAGGGGGAGAAUUCGUGCAUAACACGAAUUUCAUUAGAGACCAUGUUGAUUAUACAAAAUUAAGGAGUUCUUAAAGGGAGAAUUAUUUCAAAUUGGGGUUAAAUUAAAACCUUCUUUCAUUUUUCGUUUGGUUGACAUCGUCGACAUCCUAUGCGUUAUUGCAAAGGCGUCGAAUAAGACAUGGCGCGGUGUCCAAAGUACAGACGCCAUCAGCGCAAUGACAGGGGGAGGAGACGGUUGAUCGAAAACCCACGAGGGGCAUUCAUCCACGACGAGAGUCGUUUCGUGGAGCAAAAUGUAAGUCGAGUGGUUCUGCUGUGAGAGGGGCAUUCAUCCUCGACGCGAGGCAUUUCGUGGAGCAAAAUGAACCGCUGUCGUCGCAUAUCAUGCAGCACAGGAAAAGCCGUCCAGCAACCUCCCCGUUAGGCCCAACUGCCUUCCUGUAUAGCAGUACGACCCCUCCUUGUACAGCAUUGGGCAAGGAAGACCGUGAGCGCCUUUGUGAAUCGAGUGGCCGUGGAAGAAAGAGCAGGCAUCUAUCGACCAAGUCCUUUGUAUGUAUUCAAUAAAGAUGUUUCAGUGAAAGAACA